CGUCCUUAGAAAUUAAUUGAUAGGACCCUUAUGAUUUAACAUUAUAGCUAAUUUAGUACCAAGAAAAUGGUCCUAAUAUACCAAAUAAGAUUAUGAAACCAAUUUUAUAGUCGCAUAAUAUGUCUACAUACAACUUAAAGAGCGUCCUAAAAAGAACAUAUUAGGACACUUUACCACCACAAUAUAAAAAUGGAUUUUUGUGGCACACAUUUUGUGUCGCAAAACUAUUCAUAGUUACGUACAUAUACUUUUGUUUUGCCUUGAUAUAAAAGAUUUUUGUGGCACAAAUUUUGUGUCGGUAAAAACAAACAUCUUCUUUGGCUCUACAAAUGUUCAUUAAAUUAAUUUUAUUACUUAAAGCUGUUAUUUAUGUACAAUAUAAAAUUAAUCACACAAUCACAAGGGUCACUAAGGGGGUGUUUGUUUUUUCUUCAAACAUCUUCAAGGGAGCUAAUGUCAGAAGGCGCGCAGACGUUACCCUUGAAGACUGUUUGUUUUUUUUUUUAAAAAAAGAUCUGAAGUCAGCUUCUUUCAUCUUAAAAAAUAAGACACAGAUCUCAUUCUUAUAACAUCUUCACAAAAACCCUACUCCUCCCUCAUAUCAUAUACGCACACAGACAUCAGCCCCUCCCACAUCUCCCAUCUCAGACACCGUUCCUCCUCAUCCUCCUCCUCCUCCUCCGACUCCGACUCCGACUCCGACCAGUUUUUCGGUGACCUCCUUCUUCUCCUUCGACCAGAUGGAAACUAAUGAUGGUCGACAACAAUGGACGGAUGAGGCUGUUAAAUGCUUAUUAGAAACAUGUCUUGAAGAAAUAGGGAGGAUAGGUAGAAAUGGACAAAGCUUGUGCAGGGAGUCUUGGGUUAUAGUAGGGAAGAAACUCAAGGAACAAUUUCACAUGGAUUUGACUCAAAAGCAAAUUAGAAAUGCUUUUGAUACUAUGAAAUCAAAAUAUGUAGGAUGGUGCUACUUGAGAAACAAGACUGGAAAUCUAUACAACCCAGAAACAAAUAUGUUCACUUUAACGCCUCAGGAAUGGGAAGAUUUUAAGAAGGGUCACCCGAGGGCAAUGUCAUUAUAAACACGCUCGUUGCCUCAUCUUGACCUUCACAUAGCUGUGUUUGAAGGGCUUAGUGCAACAGGUGGUAAUCAAUGGACAUCUACUCAAACAUCUGGAGAUUCAUCAUCCCCACAUGUCCAAACACUUCAAAUACAAGAUGGUAGCUUUCAUAAUCUAGAAAAUGAUGAUGGAGACUCUCAUGAACAAAGUUUUCAAAAUGGUGAUGAAGUUCCUACCAAUAACAAGGCUCAAACAUCUAAUGAUAAUGAAACUAGGCCCAACAAAAAGGCUAAAACCUCUAAGACCACCAUUACCCUAGAUGAUUUGGCUAAAGAUAUGCAACAAGCACUCAAGCAUAUGGUGAAAAGCAUGGAAGGACCAUCAACUGACGAAUGCUAUGAGAAGUUGAAAUUAGUUGGGUUAGAGCCUAUAGAUCCCUUGUUUUUGGCAGCAUUUAACAUUUUUGGU